CCUACGGGUGGCAGCAGUGAGGAAUAUUGGUCAAUGGGCGGGAGCCUGAACCAGCCAAGUCGCGUGAGGGACGACGGUCCUAUGGAUUGUAAACCUCUUUUGUCGGGGAACAAAGGCGCCCACGGGUGGGCGGAUGAGUGUACCCGAAGAAAAAGCAUCGGCUAACUCCGUGCCAGCAGCCGCGGUAAUACGGAGGAUGCGAGCGUUCUCCGGAUUUAUUGGGUUUACAGGGUGCGUAGGCGGACAGGCAAGUCAGCGGGAAAAAUGCGGUGCUCAACGCCGUACAGCCGUUGCAACUGGCAGUCUUGAGUGGGCGAGACGUAUGCGGACUGCGUGGUGUAGCGGUGCAAUGCCUAGCUAUCACGC
rnacentral:rRNA from 1 species